GGAGAUUGGGGAACGAGCUGUACAGAAGCGGCAGCUUCGCGGAGGCGCUGGCGCUGUACGAUCGCGCCAUCGCCAUCUCGCCGGGGAACGCUGCGUGCCGGAGCAACCGCGCGGCGGCGCUCACGGCGGUCGGGAGGCUCAGCGAGGCCGUGAGGGAGUGCCUUGAGGCUGUGAAGUUGGACCCUGCUUAAGAGACUUGCUUCACUUUAUCUUAGGUUUGGACAGGUUAAAAAUUCGCGGCGGAACUUGUGUCUCUCUGGGAUUCAAGAUGAUCAAUCUGAGGAGAAGAAGCUGUUGUUGUUGGAGAAGCAUUUGAAUCGCUGUGCUGAUGCAAGAAAAUUUGGUGAUUGGAAGAGGGCGCUUAGGGAAUCAGAAGCAGCCAUUUCUGUUGGAGCAGAUUUUUCGCCUCAGUUGGUAGCGUAAAAUUUUAGGAUUGUUGAGGUGUGAUUGAUUUCUGUUUCCAAAAGCUGUUUGGAGUUUUCAAAAUGCAACUAAACAAGGUUGCUGAGAAAGCUGGUGGAGGGUGUGGUGUGAGAGUGAGACUGAUGAUGUGCGCUUCAAGAAGAGUCCUUGUGGCUCUGUUGAUGGGGAUGCUAAGAAGAAGCCUGGUCAUGCUGUUUCCAAGGGGCAUAAGAAUUAUGAUUUGAUGCUUAAUCUUCAACUGGGUA